rnacentral:lncRNA from 1 species
GAAGUUUUGGAGCUUGGAGACACAAGGAGUUUGAUUUCUCCUAUCUCCGAGUUAGGGAUCGCACCAACCCUCGAUCUUCAAGAGGUAAGUGUAGAUCUUUGCCUUCCUUUAUGUUUUAAUGAAGUUUUAAGAAGUUUUGAUGCUUGUGUGUGGGUAGAUGUGCAUGUUAAGGUUUAUGUGGGUUUUAUGCUCAAUGUAUAUUUAUGUGAUGUUAUGUUGAGAGGUUUAAGCUAGUUUAUGCCCUAUAUGCAUGUGGGAGUGUGUAUGCAUGUUUGGGAGAGAGCAUGUGAGGUUUUGGGUUGUUUUGGAAGGUUUGGGAGGCUGUUUGUGCAUGAGGAGGCUGAGUUCUGCCAUUCUGGAAGAACUCAGGUUCGGCAGCCGAAGGACUUUCGGCCACCGAACCUGCCUGUGGAGGCAAGCUUUUGGCUGUCGAACCCUGCCCCCGAAAGUUGGACUUUCAGCACUGGAGGGGAGUUUCAGCCACCGAAGGUGCCGCCGAACAUGCAUGAGUUUCGUCUCUGGAAGGGACUUUUGGCCGCCGAAGGUGCCGCCAAAAGUGGCUGAGUUUCGGCUCUGGAGGGACUUUCGGCUGCCGAACCUGCCGCCGAAAGUGCCCUGUCCAGCCUUCCUUUGCAUAAUUUCUAUGAUUAUUCUAUGAUGUUUUAGGGGGUUUUUGGGGAGUUGUUUAGAGUUGUGUUAGAGUGUGUUUGGUCCCUCAUUUGAGUCCACCUGUGUAGGAUCGGACCCGAGGAACCAAGGAGGCCAGCAGUGUUAGCUGUUGCAGAGUCAGUCCAGCGUCUGCCAGAGGUGAGUAGAACUAACUCAAAUGUUUUAAGCAUGUUCACGCAUCAUGAAUACCAUGUAUAUGUAUUAGGCUGUUGCAUUAGAUUUCACGAAGAUGUUGCAUUGCAUAAUUUGCUGUUGAUAUGGAUGGACCAAGGCGACCCUAAUAGCCCUAGAUAUGAUAUGUUAAUGAAGUCUUGAGGAGCCCUUCGAGGGCCGGGCACAGACAGAGGGAGUUUUGGAGGUCAUGUCCAUCCGUGAUGUGAAUUGUUUGUGCUGUAACGCAUUCCAUGAAAGCAUAUGAUCAUUAUUAUUGUUUUUCUG